CUCGUGCUCUCCAGGCUUUGGUUUACUUAACUGCAGAUAACAUCAUAAACAGCAAAAAUGUGGCUUUUGCGCGGACAGAAAUUAAAUAUCCAAGUAGUAAAUGGUCAGAGGUCAAACAGCAUUGGAGGAGUUUACGUGAGGAACCAAAGAAAAGACAAAAUGGAAGAAGCAUUGUGGUACUAUAGAGAUGCCCUGGCCUACAACUCAUACUCCAGAUUUAUGUCUUUCAGGGAGAGGUUUGUGUGGCCGUGCUGGUCGUCUCGACUCUGUUUUGGGCUCUGGCUCUCGUGUUGAUGCCGGUCGUGGUCCUGGCUGUUGAAGAAUCUUCGG